UACGUAGGGCGCAAGCGUUGUCCGGAAUUAUUGGGCGUAAAGAGCUCGUAGGCGGCUUGUCGCGUCGGAUGUGAAAGCCCGGGGCUUAACCCCGGGUCUGCAUUCGAUACGGGCAGGCUAGAGUGUGGUAGGGGAGAUCGGAAUUCCUGGUGUAGCGGUGAAAUGCGUAGAUAUCGAGAGGAACACCUGCGGCGAAGGCGGGUUGCUGGGCUGACACUGACGCUGACAGCGCGAAAGCUAGGGGAGCGAACGGG
rnacentral:rRNA from 1 species